CCUACGGGAGGCAGCAGUGAGGAAUAUUGGUCAAUGGACGCAAGUCUGAACCAGCCAAGUAGCGUGCAGGAUGACGGUCCUCCGGGUUGUAAACUGCUUUUAGUUGGGAAUAAAAGGGGGCUCGUGAGCCCCGUAUUGUAUGUACCAUCAGAAAACGUCCCGGCUAAUUCCGUGCCAGCCGCCGCUGUAAGACGGAAGGUCCGGGCGUUCUCCGGUUUUCUUGGGUUUAAAGGGAGCGUAGGCCGGCUUGUAAGUCAGCUGUGAAAGUCCGCGGCUCAACCGUGGCAUUGCAGUUGAAACUGGAGGCCUUGAGUGCACACAGGGAUGCCGGAAUUCAUGGUGUAGCGGUGAAAUGCUUAGAUAUCAUGAAGAACUCCGAUCGCGAAGGCAAGUGUCCGGGGUGAAACUGACGCUGAGGCUCGAAAGUGCGGGUAUCAAACAGGAUUAGAUACCCGGGUAGUC
rnacentral:rRNA from 1 species